UUCUUAGUGUUCAUUCAUAGUCGUCAUUGAAGUACAACUUGGUAAACUACAAAACACAUCAAAUUCAGUUAUAAAAAUUUGAGUAACAAAGGUAUACUAAUUAUUGUAUUGCCUGAAAGAGUGUCAUUGCUAUUAAAAGCAGUGAAGAAUUCAAGUACUCUGGAAGAAAAGAAAAUACGUAAGUAAAUGGUCAAUUAUUUGGCACAAAUCGGAGUUAAAGACAAAGGAGAUUGUAUAUUUUAUUUGCUAAGAAUAGUUUUU
rnacentral:lncRNA from 1 species